UACCGGGCCCUGAGCCUGUGCGCGCCGACUCCGCGGCUCUGUGGGACCCGGAGGGCGGGGGGACACCUACGCGGGAAAGGACGCAGAUGCUGCUGAGCUCCCUGGAGGCCAGAGCUGGAGCGAAAAAGGUCGGCAGAGGGCGAACUAGGGACACGCCUUCCCACGUCCCUUCCCCCAGCCUACUACAGAAUCGAACGGCCUAGCUACCAGAACCUCAAACGGGGUCCCUGUGCCCGCCCCGGGAUCCCCGAAGGCCUCCUCCAUCCGGCGCCUGGCUCCCGCUCGGGGGAGGGGGUUAAGGGGCUGCUCCGCCUCCCUCCCGCAGAGGAAGGGAGUGCCUCCUUAAGCCGGGUUUGCCCGGGAUACCCUGCUCCCAGCGCCCUCUGUCUCCGCAAGGGACGUCCCGUGCUUGCCACCCGCUGCCCUGGGGGACCUUCUUUCCAGCAACAGCCGGGAGCCCUGUGGAGAGACUGCGGCCUCUGAGCCGAGGAGCAGGAUCCUAGAUCCCAGGAGGUAGACUAACGCAGCCCCAGAGGCCUGGGCAACGCAUCUGCCAGGCAGAUGGUAACUCCAAGGGGGCAAGGUGCGUGAGAAACGCUCGUUAUCCUCACCCGGAGCCAGCAGCACCUGGUUUCCCCCGGGGAACCAGCGCCCCUUGGCAAAGCCAGCGUAAGGUCGUGCAAGCCUGCUUGAAGCCAGGCGAAGAAAAUCUAGAUCACCUGCCCCAACUUGCUGCCCAGCAGGGGUCCCAUCAACACGGAAGGGGAUAUCAGAUGCGGUGGUUGAAGGUUGGAUGAUAUCUCUAAGGUCACAAAGAAGUGCUGCAUGGGAAAAUAGCCCUGGGGCUGAGCUGAAGAUGCCAGAUCCAGCUGAAGGAAUGGCCCAGGGAGGGCAGGAUUGAAGGCCACCCUCCCUGGUGCCUCACAAGGAAGCCUGGCAGCGUGUGCCCUGGGCAGCAGGGCAUGGCGAAGGUCACUGGGACAGUGAAGCUCUCACCGGUGCUCUGCCUGCCUCUGUGAUCCUUCUGUCUGUGCCUCCAUUUCCUCUCCUAGCAGACGGAGAUAGUAAUUGUUCCUGCUCGGUGAUUUAUUGUGGAGAAGGCGAUUAUCUGUGUAUCAUGCCCCACAUAUAGCAACUUCUCCAUACAUGUAGUUGUUAUUAUUAACUAUUGACUUUCUUUGUGGCUUUUAAUAAA